GUUCACUUUAUAGACCCGCGGCAUCUAUUAUGCUCUUGAUUUGGAGCAUGAUAUAUGAUUUUCAAAAACAUUGUCCGGCACAAACAAAAUAAUAAAUGAGGUCAAACACAUCACAUUUUUAUCCCUUGAGGACCAAUUUAACUCUUUGCUACAAAAUACUCACGACGUGUUGACCAAUGGGACAAAAUUGCGAGUUAGCCGCAUUAUAAAAUCUUAUAGUCCUUUUUCAUUGCAGUUUUAUAAUUCUAGGAAGACAAGGAAA
rnacentral:lncRNA from 1 species